GUGAAUAUAGACUUUUCAAGGAGUUUGCUGUAAAAUAAGAAAUGCGGUGUUUCCGUUGGCUCCAGUUGGGACAGACGGCAUCCAUAAGAGGAAGGGAAGAUACGUGGACACAGUGGGUAACACUGAGACAGAAAGGUGUUGCAUGAACUUCUUGAACUUACAUCCUUAGAAGGUGACAGAAUUUAAGUGACUGCGGGCCCCUGUCAGCAGCAUUGGUAAUUUCAGUGAUGGGAACAGAAAAGCGGCUGCUUCGUUAAAGCAGACACCUCAGCAAGCACCAGCAGUGGGUCUGAGUUCAUGGAAUCCCGCCUAGGUAGUACUCCUCAUCUCUAGGUGACAUCAUCGUCUCCUCUGUGCCCCCUCCUCCAUUCCAUCACCUUUGCAACAAAUUUCUUGGGUUGGAACCCUCACUUCCUACUUCCUCUCAUAGACAGGAUUCUGAUUUCCUAACUGGCUCCUGACAAAUGAAUCUAGUUCAUAUUGUGACUUUCCAAUGAAUGGAUGGCCCCUGCUUUUCCACU